UUAUUUAACGAUUUUUGUCAAAGGUUUGGAAAAUUAAUAUUACCAAAAUUUUAUUUAAUAACGAGAUAAAAAUCCUUUUUCAGAAAAUUUUAUUUACUUUUGUUCUGUGGAGAUACAGAUUAAUGGAACCGCAGCGCGCUAAAAUUUACUUUAGAGUGUAUGUAACCAGGUGUCCUAUAAGCGCAAGCACUGAAACCAAAUUAAUGUAACGAAAUAUCUAAUAUACGUUCCACGGUUGGCUAACUGGCUACCCUAAAAUUGCGUUUUAGAUAUUUGGUCAGAAGCCAAGAAUCACAGCUACACAGACAGAACCGGUAAACGCGCGCUUUUAAUUAAAUAACGCGACCCAGCAACGUGUGCAAAAUACCAGCGAUUUCUCCUCUUAUUCUUAUUUUAUCCCCCGCAUUUCUACUACUUUUGCUUCUUUCGUUCGGUGGAAAUUGUAAUUAGUUCCUAUUAAAUUUCGGUAUGCAAUGGUCGCAACAAUGGGAAAACGAGGAUACGAAGGUACGAAUCUUCUCGAUUACUCAUACUUUUACUUCACUUUUUUAGAUCUUUUUUCACUUAGAAUUUUGGUAAUUUAAUACACAAUAAAAUUAUCAAAAUGAUCAGAAAUAGUUCCAAUCCACGAGAUUUUUUCUUUUUAUUUUUUUAAUCAUCAGAGUCUACUUUCCAAUUUUUUUUUCUUUUCUAUUCCUGAAAUUAAAUAUCGAAUUACAUGGAUAUGCAGUAGGUGAUUAGGAAGAAGAAAAAAAAAGAAACUCUAUUGAAAAUUGAAUUCAAUUUUUCAAGAAGCGAGGAAUCCCUUUAAUACCUUCAUUUCACAAGAAUUUGGAAGCUUAAGAUGUAAAGAUUUUUGAACUGCUUUGCAAAGAGUUGUGCGUUUGUCGGAUGUUGCAACUCGUCGAUUUCGAGAAGAAACAUUUCCAUCCUCGCUUUGUCUCGAAAAGUCUCGACAUCUUCAAGAUAGAUAUGUACACGAUUGGACUGAAGUUUAUAGUCGACGUAAAAGUCAACUUUGCAACAGUUGCAAACGUGCAAGUAGGAAUUCUCUCAGCAUCGAGAUUUUCCUGUCACUGUCGGUUGUAGUUUGCGCCACUUUGAACGCGAUUUCUCAGUUAAAGAGACACAUCUGAUGUCGCCUAUCUUGCGGAGAUAGUUGCACGCUUCCCAAGUUUCAGCCUUUAGGGACUCGAGGAAUCAAAAGAUCAUGAUAUUUCGUCAUCGAUUUUUUUUUUUUUUCAGUCUUUUUCUAUCAGUGUUUUCAAAGCAUCGUAAAAAAAAAUAAAACCAUUUAGAAGAGGAGAUAAGAUUUGCCAAUAAGAAUGCCAAUAAGAUUUCCAUGGAAAAAAAAUAUCUAAAAAUUCAUUAUCACGAACAAAUAAAACAUUUCUGUGACAUUUAAUGUGUGAUAUGAAAAGAAAUAGGAAGAGGAAUAACGUUUCGAGUAAGAAUCGUUCCACUAUUACUCGUCGUGUAAAAAAAAGUAAAGAAAAUGGACAAAUGGAUUCCACGAGUUAAGCUUGUACUGAAGAAACCAUAAAGAAUGGAGAUUGUCAUCUUCAAAUGGAUCAGAAUACGAAAUUUUACUUCCAUCCUUACUUAUGGAUUAUCAUUCUCUCAAAAAUCUACAGAAAAAUGAAUUGUUACAGAAAAUGUGUGCAGAAGAUUUAAACAUAUAUGGAACAUCUUUGGAUAUUUCUGGAUUCUGGAUCCAUAAUUCUGGAGACCAAAACGGAUACAAAAUUUCUGCUGAAAGUUUAUAUUAUUAAGUUACAAGAUUUAAGUUCAGAUGAAGCGUAGAUGGGACGGAGACAGAACGGUAUCUCCUUCUCGCUUAUUAUUCAUCUGAUGGUAUUAAAUUCUUGGAAACGACAAAACAUCAAAAGCCUAGUAGGGAAGUUUCGUUGCAGAAACGCUUGCACAUGACUGGAGGAUCGUUAAUGAGCGCGAAUAGACUCCUAACGGCGUUAAUUGUUGCCACAGGCCAAGACGGAAGUGCUUGUAUUUACGUAAGUUCCUCCCGUUCAAAACAUUGUCAUAAUCAUGGCGCAACUUUGAAUAAAGUUGCCAACAGAAUACAGUGUACAUAUAUAUAUUCGUGCACAAAUGUUAAUGACCAUCAAGAUUACUUGGCUACGCUGAUAACUUGGGCCACGCAGUCUAAUAAUUACGGUUGUCAAGGUUAGAGAUUUCGCCUCGAAAGCCGAGACCAGAGUUUCGGUUUCUUGAGUUACUAAAGUUGUAUUGAAUUAAAAUAUAAAAAGGAAUAAAAAUUUGUACGAAAAUGGAUUUUGAAAGAAACGCAAAAUUAUAUUAGGAAAGAGACGAUUUAUUUUGGAUAUAUCGAAAUAAGAAUGUUUUCUUCUGAAAAAUUUACAAUUGAAGACGAUCUUUUAGGUAGGACUGAUAACAAAUUCAGAAGUUGAAUGAAUAAUAAUUAUCAAAGGUGGAGGGGAAAAAAACUUUGACGUUCUGUAUCUAUUAAUAAUUUUACCUUAGUUUCCGUAAUUUUAACUUAACUCUUAUGUUAAUUUAUGUUAUUCAAAUUUUUACGCUGCUCUUGACGUGCUGCCUUUUGACAGUGGGCUCAGCUGUCGGCGGCCCUGUACUGAAUUAUUCAUAUUUCUGCAUAAUGAACUCUAUUGGCGUUUUAUAAUAGGAACAUAAAAUUACACUCUUUUGGGGGAAAUUUAACAAAUUAUUAUUAAAAUAUAUUAUUAUGAAUUAAAAAGCGGCUAAGAGAAAUUGUACAAAAGAAUUUCAUUGCUAGAUGAACAAUGCACGUGUUUCAAUUCUGUUUUCUUAUCGUUUUAAUUAUUAUUUUUAACAUAUGUUAAUAAGGAUUUUUUUUUGACUAUAUUUUUAUAGAUA